rnacentral:rRNA from 1 species
UACGUAGGUGGCAAGCGUUGUCCGGAUUUACUGGGUGUAAAGGGCGUGUAGCCGGGCUGACAAGUCAGAUGUGAAAUCCGGGGGCUCGACCCCCGAACUGCAUUUGAAACUGUUGGUCUUGAGUAUCGGAGAGGCAGGCGGAAUUCCUAGUGUAGCGGUGAAAUGCGUAGAUAUUAGGAGGAACACCAGUGGCGAAGGCGGCCUGCUGGACGACAACUGACGGUGAGGCGCGAAAGCGUGGGGAGCAAACAGG